UAACAAAAAGAACUUUUCUAUAAUAAAUAAUGUUGAGCAAACAAUGAAGCAAAAAUAUUCAAUAAGUCUAAUUACACAAAUUCACAACUUAAAGAUGCCCCACAACAAUUAAUUCCACUCAAAAGAACCGAUGAUAUAAAUGUAUACUUUGACGAUUAACAAAGAUUGGUCUAAUCAAGCAAUUAUCUCAUGUAAUACAUUCAGGAAAAAUGUAUUUUGUAUUGUUUUAAUUAAAUUCAAAAGAGGGUACAGUCAAUCUCUACUGCUGCAAUCUGUACGAGAAUUGUCUUUUUUAAACAAAACUUCGAGAACUAGUUUGGAUGCUUUU